rnacentral:rRNA from 1 species
AUUGAACGCUGGCGGCAGGCUUAACACAUGCAAGUCGAGCGGGGGAAGGUAGCUUGCUACCGGACCUAGCGGCGGACGGGUGAGGAAUGCUUAGGAAUCUGCCUCUGAGUGGGGGACAACAUCUCGAAAGGGAUGCUAAUACCGCAUACGUCCUACGGGAGAAAGCAGGGGAUCUUCGGACCUUGCGCUAAUAGAUGAGCCUAGGUCGGAUUAGCGAGUGGGUGGGGUAAAGGCCUACAAAGGCGACAGUCUGUAGCGGGUCUGAGAGGAUGACCCGCCACACUGGGACUGGGACACGGCCCAGACUCCUACGGGAGGCAGCAGUGGGGAAUAUUGGACAAUGGGGGGAACCCUGAUCCAGCCAUGCCGCGUGUGUGAAGAAGGCCUUAUGGUUGUAAAGCACUUUAAGCGAGGAGGAGGCUACUUUAGUUAAUACCUAGAGAUAGUGGACGUUACUCGCAGAAUAAGCACCGGCUAACUCUGUGCCAGCCGCCGCAGUAA